rnacentral:lncRNA from 1 species
CAAGAGACGUGGACUGACUGAGAACCGGUUCCUCAAGGAGUUGGACCGGGUUCGCGAACCGACUUCCAAGAUCAUCGAGGUAAUACACAACGUCACUCUUGUCUCGAGGUUUUUCAUUUUCCUUUUUAUUUUUAUAUAUCAUUUCUUCCUUGCUUUUAUUGGAAGUAGUGCUGUUAAAAUAAGUAGGAAAAAAGCUAUGAUUGAGUCACGGUGGACUGUAGGAGUUCCAACUCAAUUGGUCAAGAUUUUAUAGAUUUUCUUGGACGAUACCAAAAUAUUAUAUGCAGUCAUUAUCUAGUGAAGUUGAAAGAUGGACACCAAACCAAACCAAACCAAUUAAAACCCUCGUUGAAUGGGUCAGAGUUAAGUAAAAAAUGACAUCAGCCUCCCCCGGGAACAUAGUAAAAACAUGUAUUAAAGCCAAUAAAAAUUGGCAAUAGGAAUCAUUUGUGUGAUAUAAGACUGCAAAAAUUGGUAAAAACAUGCUUAUCUUAUUAUAAAAGAGAUACAUAAUAAGACACGAACGAAUAUUUUAUAUACAUUCCGCGUAGGGUUUGAAGUUUGAACUGAAGUGGCGUGAGGCUCGAAAGCAUGGGAGUAAUAAAUAGAGUCAGUAUGAGAGUUUGGAAGGACUGGGUUAUUUCAAAAUUUGUUGAGUCAGCCACACCCACACCCACAUGCAUUCAAGUCAAACAUGCUAUUCAUUUCCCAACUUGGUGAGAUAGUUUCUUGAGCUGUCAAUUACCAAGCCUCUGCUUUGUGGGGUUGCCCAUGAUCACAUGACUUGCAUAUUUAAACCCUAUUUGGAAGGAAUCUAAGAAAUGUUGGAUUCUAACCAUUAAAUUAUUAGAAAAUGUUAAGAAAUUUAAGUGGUUAGUCAUUUUUUAAUCAUCAAUAUUAUCACAAUCUGAUAUAUUUUUAGUAGAGUAAGGCCACUAUGAUGAGUAAUCUCUUUUUAUAUGUGUACAAAAUUUUUUAGUGACCCGGACAAGGAAUGACUAAGAAAAGGGAAAGAUGACAAUAAUUUAUUUUUGUUUUUGUCAAUGAUUUGGAUAAGGAGCCCAUAACCUUUUCAGGGCCUAGGGUCCGGUGGGAUGCCCAGAUGAGGUAUGAUAUGGAUGGGACAAAAUUUGUGUCGCGCCUACCGGCCAAUUUUUAAGAUAAGCCAACCCAUGAUCCAAGUGCAUGAACCAUUUGCUUGCCAGAUGUCUGAAAAGACGCGCGUUGGCACAUUUUUCUAAGGCAGAUAUUUUGUAAAGCAAUUAUAGAAUCCGAGGGAGUUGGUGCUCAUACUUGAAGACGGGUUAUAUAAAAAAUCUGUUCAUCACAGAAAAAUUAUUGAAUUUAAAUAAUAAGCUAAUAAAC